AGCCAGAGGACGGCGGGCGAGGCUGAGGUGCCGCUUGUUUCCGGGCCUGGGCUGCAGUGCAGUGACGCGAUCUUGGCUGCAACCUUCGCCUCCUGGGUUCAAGCGAUUCUCCUGCCUCAGCCUCCUGAGUAGCUGGGAUUACAGGCGCGCACCACCACGCCCAACUAAUUUGUGUAUUUUUAGUAGAGAUGGGGUUUCGCUAUGUUGACCAGGCUGGUCUUGAACUCCUGACCUCGUGAUCCACCUGCGUUGGCCUCCCAAAGUGCUGGGACUACAGGCGUGAGUGACCGCGCCUGGCAGCCAUGGGUUCAAAGUAGGCGCAGGGAAGCUUCUGGAGGGUGCCUGGACGGCAGCUAAAUGGUUGGGGCCUGGCUCCUGAGUGACCCUGUGUCAUCCCCAUGGCCAGAUCCCACCCAUCCACACAGGGCCGGCCUCCUGCCCUAGGAUUCUGACUUGGGGGGCUUCCGAGCCCAGGAUUCUAAGACGCGUUGGAGGCUGAGAGCCUUGGCUGGCGCCCUCCGGUCAAGCUCACUACGUGGCCUUUGCGGCCCGCCUGCUUUUCUCUGCCUGGAUCGCUCAGGUUUGACGGCCCAGGGUGGGCCCUAGACGUCUCAGGUGCCAUAGAGGCGCUGCUCCCGGAACUGCUGAAAGAGGAUUGACCAAAUGCUGCUGCUGGGGCGAAGCGUCCUUGCGGAGGGACCCUACCAGGAAGGAGGUACCCCACCAGGAAGAACAGGGAGCCACAGCCCCCAGUCCCCUCGGCCAUCAUCCCGCCUUCCAAUGCCUGAUCCAGUGCCCCAGUGGCAGAAGCGAACUGGGACCAAUCUGCAAAGGAGAAAUUGAGUUGGCAGUGACGUUGCCAGAAAAUCACAACUACGUGCGGAGUACGGAGGGGUGGUUUGGAGCUGAGAGACAAUGGUUUAAUAGCAGGCAGAGUCCUGUGCCUGAUUUGCCUAUCAUAAUGCCCUUUGGCCAUUUCAAAACCAAAUCUGGUUAUGUGCUUCCACCCACCCUGCUCCCACCCCCAGUGUACGCAUUGAAUUCAGAACUCUCACCAGGCCCUACGUUUGCUGUGUUCCCUGCCUCACUUCGUGCCCUGCAUGGUGACCUUCCGUCCUGUCCUCAUGCUCACGGCACAGUCUUUGGCCAGAAUCUUUGCAUCCCCAUCUCUGCAAUUUCCCUCAAAUCUGCUGCAGGGCAACACAUCCUCCUCCUCCUUCAAAUCUCGAUUCAAUCCUCACUGCCCUGACCUCUCUAAGUCAACUCCCUCCAUCAUAAAGUCCCUUGACGCCAUGCAUCAAUUCAGCAAUUCUGCAUCAUAUUUAUCAUAGAAGGAAGCUUGCUUGCAUUUGUGAGAUCCCUUUGGCACCUCCCUCUGCUAGAGGAUAAAUGCCAAGGUCGUGAACUGUCUCUCUCUCUCUCUCUCUGUUUCUGAGAGGAAGUCUUGCUCUGUCACCUAGGCUGGAGUGCAGUGGCACGAUCUCAGCUCACUGCAACCUCCGCCUCCCAGGUUCAAGCAAUUCCCCUGCCUCAGCCUCUAGAGUAGCUGGGAUUACAGGCGCGUGCCACCAUGCCCAGCUAAUUUUUGUAUUUUUAGUAGAGACGGGAGGUUUUACCAUGUUGAUCAGGCUGGUCUUGAACUACUGACCUCAGGUGAUGCACCUGCCUCGGCUUCCCAAAGCGUUGGGAUUACAGGCAUGAGCCACCACGCCUUGCUGAAGUGCCUCUCUCUUUGCUGGCAUCUUAACACCUUGCCUGGCACAAAGGAGGUCCUCAAAAAUGUGUGUUGAAUAAAACUUGCACAAUGCACUAAGCAAGACUCUUGCACUAAAGAUACAUACUUUUAAACCUACAGAGUUUCUAGUUAGCUAGAACAUAGUAUCCAAGAGGCUGAGAAUCUUUGCCUAAUCACUUUAGGACCCUUUUACUCAGUGAAGCCAGUGCCCAUUACAAUGGCUUUCACAGAGUAAAAAGAUCCUAAAGUGGUUUCCCUGGGCAUGGUGGCUCAUACCUGUAAUUCCUGCAUUUUGGGAGGCCAAAGUGGGAAGAUUGCUUGAGGCCAGGAGCUCAAGACUAGCCUGGGCAACAUACUGCGACCUUAUCUCUACAAAAAAGUUUAAAAAAUUAGCCAGGUGUGGUGAUGCACACCUGUAGUCCUAGCUACUCAGGAGGCUGAGGUGGAAGGAUCUUCUGGGCCCAGGAGUUCAAGGUUUCAGUGAGCUAUGAUGGUGCCACUGCAUUCCAGCCUGAGCAACAGAGUGACAUGUUGUCUCUAAGAAAAAAAAAAAAAAACACAAAAACAAAAUGUGUGUUCACUCCUAUCUCUAAUAACUCCUCUUCUAAGAAAAUAUUACCAGAAUGUAAUCAGAAAGGUAGACAAAGAUUAAAUACAAAUUUAAUUAUAAUUUGCACAGAAACAGUUGGAAACAAUCUAAAUAUCCUAUGUUAGAGAAUAAUUGAAUAAACUAUCAAGUACUUCUUGAUGAAAUAUUAUGAUGCCAUGAAAAUAGUACCUGAUAAUUUUUUUUUUUUUUACUUUGGAAACAUUUUAUGGGAUGAGGAUAAGAAGAAAAUGUAAUAUGCUGUAUGUUAAAUGAUUUCAACUGUGCAAAAAAUAUACAGAAAGCAAUUGGGCAAAGUAGCCAAGUAAAGAAUGACGCUAGGUAGUUGAUUGUGUUUUAUUUUCUUUUAUGUUUACCCGUUUUGUAUUAUUCAAAUUUUCCACAGGUAUCACAAUGAAUAAAUCAAAAGCUAUGUAAAAAUUAAAGAAUUUGCCAC
rnacentral:lncRNA from 1 species